rnacentral:rRNA from 1 species
AUGGCUCAGAUUGAACGCUAGCGGGAUGCCUUACACAUGCAAGUCGAACGGCAGCACGGACUUCGGUCUGGUGGCGAGUGGCGAACGGGUGAGUAAUGUAUCGGAACGUGCCUAGUAGCGGGGGAUAACUACGCGAAAGCGUAGCUAAUACCGCAUACGCCCUACGGGGGAAAGCAGGGGAUCGCAAGACCUUGCACUAUUAGAGCGGCCGAUAUCGGAUUAGCUAGUUGGUGGGGUAACGGCUCACCAAGGCGACGAUCCGUAGCUGGUUUGAGAGGACGACCAGCCACACUGGGACUGAGACACGGCCCAGACUCCUACGGGAGGCAGCAGUGGGGAAUUUUGGACAAUGGGGGAAACCCUGAUCCAGCCAUCCCGCGUGUGCGAUGAAGGCCUUCGGGUUGUAAAGCACUUUUGGCAGGAAAGAAACGUCAUGGGUUAAUACCCCGUGAAACUGAC